GCUAGAUAGCUCAGUUAGUUAGAGCAUGGUGCUGAUAGCGCCAAGGUUGCAGGUUUGAACCCCGUAAGGGAGAGCUGCA
rnacentral:tRNA from 1 species